rnacentral:rRNA from 1 species
AUGAGGUCUAGUUUUGACACCGAGAUCAAGUGUGAUUACAUUCAUAACAACCUCGCGGAGUCCUUCAACAAUUGGAUUAAAGGAAUCAAAGAUCUUCCUGUAGAUGGGUUGGCUGACACACUUAACGGAAAGAUAAUGAAAUUGCUCGAGAAAAGGAGAAAGAUUGGGGAGAAGCUACAAGGGCAGAUGCUUCCAGCAGUUGUACAACAAGUGAAUAAUAGAACUAGAGGACUUGGGCACUUGAAAGUUACCCGAUCAAGUAAUUGGAAGUGUGAGGUGAGGGACAUCAGCAAAGACAAUUUGAGGCAUGUGGUUAACAUAGAACAAAGUGAGUGCACGUGCCUCGAGUGGCAGCACACAGGUAAACCUUGUGAACAUGCACUUGCUUUCUUGUUUGGAAAAAGGAACGUGGAGAUGGAAGAUUAUCUUCAUGAGUACUACUCUCUAGAAAGGUUUAGGGCAGCUUAUAGGGGGUUGUUGAGCCUCUCACAGAUCGGUCACAAUGGCCUAAUGUUAAAUUAG